GGAGUUAGCCGGUGCUUCUUCUGUGAGUGAUGUCCUUCCUUCCGGCUAUUAACCCGCAGGCCUUCUUCCUCACUGAAAGUGCUUUACAACCCGAAGGCCUUCUUCACACACGCGGCAUGGCUGGAUCAGGGUUGCCCCCCAUUGUCCAAUAUUCCCCACUGCUGCCUCCCGUAGGAGUCUGGGCCGUGUCUCAGUCCCAGUGUGGCUGAUCAUCCUCUCAGACCAGCUACGGAUCGUCGCCUUGGUGAGCCGUUACCUCACCAACCAGCUAAUCCGACAUAGGCUCAUCCGAUAGCGCGAGGCCCGAAGGUCCCCCGCUUUCCCCCGUAGGUCGUAUGCGGUAUUAGCCUGGGGUUUCCCCCAGGUUAUCCCCCCACUACCGGGCAGAUUCCUAUGCAUUACUCACCCGUCCGCCGCUCGCCACCAGGGAGCAAGCUCCCCGUGCUGCCGCUCGACUUGCAUGUGUUAGGCCUGCCGCCAGCGUUCAAUCUGAGCCAGGAUCAAACUCUGA
rnacentral:rRNA from 1 species